rnacentral:tRNA from 1 species
GGGAGAUUAACUCAACUGGCAGAGUGCCACCUUGACGUGGUGGAAGUUGUAGGUUCGAGUCCUAUAUCCCCCACCA